rnacentral:rRNA from 1 species
UACGCAGGCGGCUGCGCAAGACAGGUGUGAAAUCCCCGGGCUUAACCUGGGAACUGCAUUUGUGACUGCGCAGCUAGAGUUUGUCAGAGGGGGGUGGAACUCCACGUGUAGCAGUGAAAUGCGUAGAGAUGUGGAGGAACACCGAUGGCGAAGGCAGCCCCCUGGGACCGUGACUGACGCUCAUGUACGAAAGCGUGGGAGCAAACA